rnacentral:misc_RNA from 1 species
AACCUUAUGGACCUGCGGGCGUAUACCUGCGGAGGGAUCAUUACCGAGUGAGGGCCCUCCGGGUCCAACCUCCCACCCGUGUUUAACGAACCUUGUUGCUUCGGCGGGCCCGCCUCACGGCCGCCGGGGGGCACCCCGCCCCCGGGCCCGCGCCCGCCGAAGACACCUGUGAACGCUGUCUGAAGUUGCAGUCUGAGACACUAGCUCAAUCAGUUAAAACUUUCAGCAAUGGAUCUCAGA